UCCCCCUCUCUCCAUCUUUUUUCCUUCCAUCCUCCAAUUUAAUCUCUUUCGUCCUCCCUCUUUCCUCCUCAUAUUCGAGUCUAUUUAUGCUGUGCCUGUUUUCUAUCUUGUAAAAUCUCUCCAUUUUUCAGGUAGUUAAGAGUCCCCUCUAUUCUUGGUCUCCCCUUUCCUUCCUCCAUAUCUAUAAUAUCGAUGAUGAUAAUAG
rnacentral:lncRNA from 1 species